UACGAAGGGGGCUAGCGUUGCUCGGAAUCACUGGGCGUAAAGCGCACGUAGGCGGAUCUUUAAGUCAGGGGUGAAAUCCCAAGGCUCAACCUUGGAACUGCCUUUGAUACUGGGGAUCUCGAGUCCGGAAGAGGUUGGUGGAACUGCGAGUGUAGAGGUGAAAUUCGUAGAUAUUCGCAAGAACACCAGUGGCGAAGGCGGCCAACUGGUCCGGUACUGGACGCUGAGGUGCGAAAGCGUGGGGAGCAAACAGGG
rnacentral:rRNA from 1 species